CGUUCGGUCACACUGCUCCCUCAGGGCUGUCAGUUGUUAGAGAGCCGAGCGACUGUGAAGACGUACGUGUGUGCUCAUACAGUGCUCUCAGAAUUUAUUUUUGGCAGUUUUUUUCCCCUACUGGCAGAAUAGCAAGCAAAAUAUAACAAAAAAAAAAAAAAAUGGUUAUUAAAAGACAAAAUACAAAUGCAAUUACACUUCAGCAGCCGCACUAACAUCAACAAUGAAAUGUUAUUUUGUUGUUAAUACAACAUUGAAUGUAUGAAUUGCAAAUGAAACAAAAACAAAAGGCAUUUUCUGAAGCGACACAUUUAUUUGCGUACAAAUACAUAUGUAUAUAUAUGUAUAUGCAUAAUAACAAUACGUAUAUAUGGGAGCAAUUAAUAAACAUUGGAUAUUUUUUGACAAAAUUCACUAGAUAAUGGCCACGAAUAUGAACAAAUAUUUAUAUCUACCAAAAAAAGAGAAAAAGCGUUAGCGUUUCUUUCAUUCAAUUGAAAAAGAAAUUGAAAUUCGCGGAAGACGACACGACGACGACGACGGUGAAGAAAGAUUUUUACUCGCGUCGCGGUAUACUUCAACUGUUUUUGAACUUUUAUUGCGUUGCUGCUGAGCAAGAGCGCCAACUACAAAAGUCGCCGCGCAGCGCCCAACAACAAGUCGCUGCGACCGAAAGAAACAAAAAAAAAAAACGAAUUCAACGAAACCAGAACGUGUGUGCGAGUGCAAAGUGUUGAGAGCAAAGGAGAGCGAGCGUGCGACUUGAGCAUGCGCGAUGUGCGCUUAAAUGUAGACGAACUCAGCUGAAUGGAUGUAUGUGUGUGUGUGUGUGUGUGUGCAUGAUUGUGUCGCGUCAUUUUCGCCUUCGCCGCACUACGUGCUGCUUUGCUUACUGUGCGCGUUUUUCGUUUAUCGCCGCCGCCGUAAACUCACACACUGAAUUUGCCAUUGUUGUCUUCUCAGCGAGUCGCCGUCGUAGCCUCGGCGCUGCUUUGUCGCUGUCGUCUCUCGUGCUCGCCGUCUCGCAUAGUUUGCUUGCUGUUUUGCCAGAGGA